GCAUGGUGUGUUCAGCGGUGCUGGAGAAGACUGUGGGAAUGGGAAACUCGAUGGAUUUGGGGGCAGGGAGAAUGUGAAGCUGCUGGAUUUUCUGGGAAAGUGUGCAUGAAAUCAGUGGGCUGUUAUAGGGAAAAGAAGGAAGAAUUUCUAAUUCAUAUAUUUGUUCUCUGAUAGGGAAAUAUAAUACUGGUGGAUUUGCUUUUGAGAGAGGGAAUAAAUAAAUAAAUAGAUAAAUAAAACUAUUUGAGAAGAAGGUUACUUGCAUGACUAGAAAAUGAUUGACGGAACUCCAUUUAAAAGGACUGGAUGCCUAAGCCUGAAUUAAUGAACUAUGAACUGCUGUAGCAACAAUGCAAAGAAUUUCUGAAGGAAAGGCAGAGGGAACCUUGGAAAACCAAGAAGAUGAUGGGCCCUGGGACCACCAGAGCCCUGAGUUGGAGGACCGUGACUGUAGUAAUGAUAAUCUCCCAGCCAGGUCUGAGACUGCGUGGAAUUUGCUGCCCCAGCUGGAUGCAUGAAAAGAGUACACAUUACUCAUGGACAACUCUGGAAACAGUUCUCCCUCAGGUCAGAGUCCUCUGGAAGAAACUGAAAGCAAGAACAGUUAUGGAAGAAUGUUGUUUUUUUGGAAUACCAAAACUAUUUUUUUUUUUUUCUGGGAAGAAAUGAAAGCAAAGGAACAAUUCAGAAUUUCCUAGGUACCAUGACUAUGAAGAAAAUGGAAUCUCAAACCCAUAACUCAAAACCAUUCUUUUGAAAAAUUUUGAUACUUCACCUUAACAUUUGUUAUUAGUUUUUAAUUGUAUAAAUAGUUUUGUAACAAAAAAUGAAACAUUCCUCUCCAAGAAGUGCAAAUA